AACGAACGCUGGCGGCAGGCUUAACACAUGCAAGUCGAGCGCCCCGCAAGGGGAGCGGCAGACGGGUGAGUAACGCGUGGGAAUCUACCGUGCCCUACGGAAUAGCUCCGGGAAACUGGAAUUAAUACCGUAUACGCCCUACGGGGGAAAGACUUAUCGGGGUAUGAUGAGCCCGCGUUGGAUUAGCUAGUUGGUGGGGUAAAGGCCUACCAAGGCGACGAUCCAUAGCUGGUCUGAGAGGAUGAUCAGCCACAUUGGGACUGAGACACGGCCCAAACUCCUACGGGAGGCAGCAGUGGGGAAUAUUGGACAAUGGGCGCAACCCUGAUCCAGCCAUGCCGCGUGAGUGAUGAAGGUCUUAGGAUUGUAAAGCUCUUUCACCGGUGAAGAUAAUGACGGUAACCGGAGAAGAAGCCCCGGCUAACUUCGUGCCAGCCGCCGCCGUAAUAC
rnacentral:rRNA from 1 species